GACGAACGCUGGCGGCGUGCCUAAUACAUGCAAGUAGAACGCUGAAGGAGGAGCUUGCUUCUCUGGAUGAGUUGCGAACGGGUGAGUAACGCGUAGGUAACCUACCUGGUAGCGGGGGAUAACUAUUGGAAACGAUAGCUAAUACCGCAUAACAGUAGAUAUCGCAUGAUAUCUACUUGAAAGGUGCAAUUGCAUCACUACCAGAUGGACCUGCGUUGUAUUAGCUAGUUGGUGAGGUAACGGCUCACCAAGGCGACGAUACAUAGCCGACCUGAGAGGGUGAUCGGCCACACUGGGACUGAGACACGGCCCAGACUCCUACGGGGAGCAGCAGUAGGGAAUCUUCGGCAAUGGACGGAAGUCUGACCGAGCAACGCCGCGUGAGUGAAGAAGGUUUUCGGAUCGUAAAGCUCUGUUGUAAGAGAAGAACGAGUGUGAGAGUGGAAAGUUCACACUGUGACGGUAUCUUACCAGAAAGGGACGGCUAACUACGUG
rnacentral:rRNA from 1 species